AUUGAACGCUGGCGGCAGGCUUAACACAUGCAAGUCGAGCGGGGUGAUGGUGCUCGCACUAUCACUUAGCGGCGGACGGGUGAGUAAUGCUUAGGAAUCUGCCUAUUAGUGGGGGACAACAUCUCGAAAGGGAUGCUAAUACCGCAUACGUCCUACGGGAGAAAGCAGGGGAUCACUUGUGACCUUGCGCUAAUAGAUGAGCCUAAGUCGGAUUAGCUAGUUGGUGGGGUAAAGGCCUACCAAGGCGACGAUCUGUAGCGGGCCUGAGAGGAUGAUCCGCCACACUGGGACUGAGACACGGCCCAGACUCCUACGGGAGGCAGCAGUGGGGAAUAUUGGACAAUGGGGGGAACCCUGAUCCAGCCAUGCCGCGUGUGUGAAGAAGGCCUUAUGGUUGUAAAGCACUUUAAGCGAGGAGGAGGCUCUUUUGGUUAAUACCCAAGAUGAGUGGACGUUACUCGCAGAAUAAGCACCGGCUAACUCUGUGCCAGCCGCCGCAGUAACAC
rnacentral:rRNA from 1 species